UUUCUACUCCCUCCGUCCGAAAAUACUUGUCAUCAAAAUGGAUAAAAAGAGAUGUAUCUAAAACUAAAAUAUGUCUAGAUACAUUUCCUUUUAUCCAUUUUGAUGACAAGUAUUUCCGGACAGAGGGAGUAUUUG
rnacentral:pre_miRNA from 1 species